rnacentral:rRNA from 1 species
CAGUCGCCGCGGUAAUACGUAGGGUGCAAGCGUUAAUCGGAAUUACUGGGCGUAAAGCGCGCGUAGGUGGUUUGGUAAGAUGGAUGUGAAAUCCCCGGGCUCAACCUGGGAACUGCAUCCAUAACUGCCUGACUAGAGUACGGUAGAGGGUGGUGGAAUUUCCUGUGUAGCGGUGAAAUGCGUAGAUAUAGGAAGGAACACCAGUGGCGAAGGCGACCACCUGGACUGAUACUGACACUGAGGUGCGAAAGCGUGGGGAGCAAACAGGAUUAGAUACCCCGGUAGUCCCUGUCUCUUAUAC